rnacentral:pre_miRNA from 12 species
UGUCUCCCAUGUCUAUUGUACUUCAUCAGGUGCUCUGGUGUGUCCUGUAACCCGGCACAUGUUGAAGUACACUCAAUAUGUGGCGAAG